CACAAAUCUAAAGAAAAGUCGCCGUGCAAUGACGUCACCUUUGUAUAAAUACCGCCGCCUUUUUCGUCACAUCCUCUUUCGUUGCUCUUCUUGCUUUGAGACAUACCGCCUCACAAUGAGAGCCAAGUGGAGGAAGAAGCGCAUGCGCAGGCUGAAGCGUAAAAGGCGAAAGAUGAGGCAGAGGUCAAAGUAAGCCUUCCUGGCCUCCCCAGCUGUGAUGCUGUCAGAGCCUGUCCAGAUUCCUGAAGUGGAUCAUGCAGAGCCUCCAAGGAUGGAGUGAAUUUGGACACUGAUUCAAAUGACAAGGAUUCUCAGAACCAGUUGUGGAUGUCUGGACUCGAGGAUGGUGAAGCUGCUGGAUGGAUCCCUCAACACCGGAAAUACACCUCCCUUGUUCAGACCAUAAUAAACUUUGGUUAAAUGUCCUUGUGUCCUUUUGUUGAACAAAUAAAUGUACAUCUGUUAUUACAUCCUAAAA